rnacentral:rRNA from 1 species
AUUGAACGCUGGCGGCAGGCCUAACACAUGCAAGUCGAGCGGUAGCACAGAGAGCUUGCUCUCGGGUGACGAGCGGCGGACGGGUGAGUAAUGUCUGGGAAACUGCCUGAUGGAGGGGGAUAACUACUGGAAACGGUAGCUAAUACCGCAUAACGUCACAAGACCAAAGCGGGGGACCUUCGGGCCUCUUGCCAUCAGAUGCGCCCAGAUGGGAUUAGCUAGUAGGUGGGGUAACGGCUCACCUAGGCGACGAUCCCUAGCUGGUCUGAGAGGAUGACCAGCCACACUGGAACUGAGACACGGUCCAGACUCCUACGGGAGGCAGCAGUGGGGAAUAUUGCACAAUGGGCGCAAGCCUGAUGCAGCCAUGCCGCGUGUAUGAAGAAGGCCUUCGGGUUGUAAAGUACUUUCAGCGGGGAGGAAGGUGUUGAGGUUAAUAACCUCAGCAAUUGACGUUACCCGCAGAAGAAGCACCGGCUAACUCCGUGCCAGCCGCCGCAGUAA